rnacentral:rRNA from 1 species
GCUCAGAACGAACGAUUAGCGGUAUGGAUUAGGCAUGCAAGUCGUGCGCGAAAGCCUUCGGGCGAGUAAAGCGGCGAACGGGUGAGUAACACGUAAUCAACCUGCCCUCGAGAUCGGAAUAACAUUUGGAAACGGAUGGUAAUGCCGAAUGGACAGCACCUGUGGCAUCACUAGUGUUGUAAACGGCGGCUUCGGCUGCUGCUCGGGGAGGGGAUUGCGGGAUAUCAGCUUGUUGGUGGGGUAAAGGCCUACCAAGGCUAUGACGUCUAGCCGGUUUGAGAGGACGACCGGUCACACUGGGACUGAGACACUGCCCAGACUCCUACGGGAGGCUGCAGUCGAGAAUCUUCCGCAAUGGGCGAAAGCCUGACGGAGCAAUACCGCGUGUAGGAUGAAGGCCUUCGGGUUGUAAACUACUGUCACGCUAUAGGAACGGCGUAAGGUUAAUAGCCUUGCGAUUGACUAAAGCGAGAGGAAGCACCGGCUAACUCCGUGCCAGCAGCCGCGGUAAGACGGAGGGUGCAAACGUUGUUCGGAAUUACUGGGCAUAAAGCGCACGUAGGCGGCCUGAUAAGUCAGUUGUGAAAGCCCUCGGCUCAACCGGGGAACUGCAAUUGAUACUGUCAGGCUCGAGGGUGGUUGGGGUGAGUGGAACUUCUGGUGGAGCGGUGAAAUGCGUAGAUAUCAGAAGGAACACCAGUGGCGAAAGCGGCUCACUGGACCACAUCUGACGCUGAGGUGCGAAAGCUAGGGUAGCGAACG